rnacentral:rRNA from 1 species
AACGAACGCUGGCGGCAUGCCUAACACAUGCAAGUCGAACGAUGCCUUCGGGCAUAGUGGCGCACGGGUGCGUAACGCGUGGGAAUCUGCCUUUCGGUUCGGAAUAACUCAGGGAAACUUGAGCUAAUACCGGAUAACGUCGCAAGACCAAAGAUUUAUCACCGAAAGAUGAGCCCGCGUAGGAUUAGCUAGUUGGUGAGGUAAAGGCUCACCAAGGCGACGAUCCUUAGCUGGUCUGAGAGGAUGAUCAGCCACACUGGGACUGAGACACGGCCCAGACUCCUACGGGAGGCAGCAGUGGGGAAUAUUGGACGAUGGGCGAAAGCCUGAUCCAGCAAUGCCGCGUGAGUGAUGAAGGCCUUAGGGUUGUAAAGCUCUUUUACCCGGGAAGAUAAUGACGGUACCGGGAGAAUAAGCCCCGGCUAACUCCGUG